GGGCACAUGGUGUAGUUGGCUAUCAUCCACUUAGCAUCGCGAGUAUAUGCUGGACGUAUAGUGUUAUGCGUGGGGUGCUGGGUUUAAUUCCCAGUGUGUCCA